ACGAACGCUAGCGGCGUGCUUUAGGCAUGCAAGUAGAACGGGCUUCCGCAAGGAAGUUAGUUGCGAACGGCUGAGUAACACGUAGGAAUCUACCCUUUGGUGGGGAAUACCCCCGUGAAAGCGGGGUUAAUACCGCAUAAGACCGUAAGGUCAAAGGACAUAACUGUCCGCCGAAGGAUGAGCCUGCGGCCUAUCAGCUUGUUGGUGGGGUAAUGGCCUACCAAGGCUACGACGGGUAGGGGGCGUGAGAGCGUGUUCCCCCAGAAUGGUACUGAGACACGGACCAUACACCUACGGGUGGCAGCAACCGGGAAUCGUGCGCAAUGGACGAAAGUCUGACGCCGCGACGCCGCGGGUGGGAUGAAGGCCUUCGGGUUGUAAACCACUUUUGCCCCGAGCGAGAGCGAGGGGAGAAUAAGCACCGGCUAACUCUGU
rnacentral:rRNA from 1 species